rnacentral:rRNA from 1 species
AUUGAACGCUGGCGGCAGGCUUAACACAUGCAAGUCGAGCGGAGAUGAGGUGCUUGCACCUUAUCUUAGCGGCGGACGGGUGAGUAAUGCUUAGGAAUCUGCCUAUUAGUGGGGGACAACAAUCCGAAAGGAAUGCUAAUACCGCAUACGUCCUACGGGAGAAAGCAGGGGAUCUUCGGACCUUGCGCUAAUAGAUGAGCCUAAGUCGGAUUAGCUAGUUGGUGGGGUAAAGGCCUACCAAGGCGACGAUCUGUAGCGGGUCUGAGAGGAUGAUCCGCCACACUGGGAAUGAGACACGGCCCAGACUCCGACGGGAGGCAGCAUUGGGGAAUAUUGGACAAUGGGGGGAACCCUGAUCCAGCCAUGCCGCGUGUGUGAAGAAGGCCUUAUGGUUGUAAAGCACUUUAAGCGAGGAGGAGGCUACUGAGACUAAUACUCUUGGAUAGUGGACGUUACUCGCAGAAUAAGCACCGGCUAACUCUGUGCCAGCCGCCGCAGUAACAC